ACAGCCUCCUGAUGAGAUUGACAUGCACUGCCUAAUCUGCCUUUGUCUCAUGCAGAAAUACCAGAAGACAUGAUGUGUCAGUAUGAAGAGUUUCUUUUCUUCAUGGGAAGAGCUGGGUUUUGUGGUAGAUUGCCUUGAUAUAUAGUGGCGAGGAACUUGAUCAUCUUGGGAAUUGGCCAAAACCACUGUAGUUGCUCAAGACCCAUGGAAUGGAGAUUGCCAACAGCUGUUCUGGGAGAAUGGUAACUUGGAACUUAUGGAUAGCCAGUUAGAUAAGACUGAUGGAAGAGCGAUUGGGUAUAUGGUAACUGCAGUGAAACUAUUAUAUGCACAAAGAUGGAAAAAUACCGACAACGGAGCAAUGGAUCAUGAAGAUGUCAGAAACUUGCAGAAAUGGUGAAACUGACCUGUUUGAGCAGGGAUAAGACAACAAGUACUUUUAUAAAAGAUCAUUUGUGACACUGAGGAAGUCUGUCUCCCAUCUUGACACUGAGAUGGCUGUUCAAGUCCACCUGGAUUUUGUCAUUGCUAGAAGAAUUAGGAAAGCAAUGCCUCAUUGAAACAUGAUACAGUUCCUCACUGCAAUAAAGGAAAAAAGGAACAGCUUUGGAGGGAAUGACAUGAAGGAGAGAAGACAAGGGUGUUUUUUCUAUUUCCUGCUUUCUGCUUCUGCAUUUCAAAUCAACAUCCUUUCAAAGCUGCUGUGGCAUCUGGGGAACCAAAUGAGUAUUUAUGAAAGAUGUUGCAGAAAAAUAUGGUGAAUAAAGGACCUUCUGAGCACAGAAUUAAUUCAAUAUUCUUGGCUUGUUGUUUGGAACAUUUUACAAACUGUUAUAAAGGAGAUCAGGUGUUCUGUCCCUCUGUUAAUUUUUAAUUUGUGACUUGCAUAUUGUGUAUACAAUAUAAAGGCAGUUCAUGUAUUGUUAGGAACAGCGUUUAUGCAUGUCACCAUUUAUGCCUCUCUUUUACUGAUUAAGAUUUAAACUGAGACAGCUGAAAAGAAUUACUCUCAGAAAAGCAGCAGACAAUGCCUAUAGAAAAACUGGUACCCAAUAAGUUCUCAAGAAGAAACAUUGUGUGAGCCAAUCCAGAACCUUUGCAAGAAAAAAAAUAGUCCAUUUUUGAAGUGUUAUUGCCUCUUAAAGUUUAAAGGAGCUUGAAGAUUAGGAGUAUUUCCAUCUGCAAGGACCUGCUUCAGAAGACUGGUUUUUUGGGGGAGGGGGGUAUUUUUGUUGUUCAGUCAUUCUGAUUCUUCAUGACCCAUUGGACAUCAUUUUGGCAGGAGUAUUGAUAACUGCUCCUUCAAGUCCUAGCAAGCUCAUGUUUGUGACAUCAGUGAUAAUAUCUAGCUAUGGUCAGUGUGAUGAACUUCUUUUGUGAAAUGGUACAUACUAACAGCAAAGAUACUGUUAUCUUCCUUGUG